CAACAAGGGCAUGAACCCCAAGAGGCAAGGAUGACAGGAGCCAUCUUGAAGGCUGGCGACCACAGAUCCACACCUAACUCCAAACCACCAAAUUACUCGGAGUGUGUGUCGGGUUGCAGAAAAUGAAAUGACCAUAAUAACUCCAAGACAGAGCAGAAGGUUCAUCUGAGUCAUACCAAAUAACUUCAUUGCUGCUAAAGUAAAAUUUGAAAAUGAUUGAAGUGAUUUUUAUGAUCAGCCUUUUGGAAGUCAUUCAAAAGUGCUGCAAUGCUACUUCAAAGAAGAUAAUUCAAAUUUAAAUGUCACUCUUCAGUGUUGUUUAUCAACAGCUGAGUAUUAAAAUUGGUGAGCUUGAAAAAAAAAAAAAAA
rnacentral:lncRNA from 1 species